UACGUAGGGUGCAAGCGUUUGUCCGGAAUUAUUGGGCGUAAAGAGCUCGUAGGCGGUCUGUCACGUCUGCUGUGAAAACUCGGGGCUUAACCCCGGGCCUGCAGUGGGUACGGGCAGACUAGAGUGCGGUAGGGGGAGACUGGAAUUCCUGGUGUAGCGGUGAAAUGCGCAGAUAUCAGGAGGAACACCGGUGGCGAAGGCGGGGUCUCUGGGCCGAUACUGACGCUGAGGAGCGAAAGCGUGGGGAGCGAACAGG
rnacentral:rRNA from 1 species